AUGGCUAAAAAGGGCUCGGAUAAGGGGGGGUUCUUCACGGAGUACGGCGAGGCGACCCGAUACCAGGUCGGCGAAGUGGUCGGCAAAGGCAGCUACGGCGUCGUGGCGUCUGCCGUCGAUACCCACACCGGCGAGAGCGUCGCCAUCAAAAAGAUCGACGACGUCUUCGAGCAUGUCGCCGACGCCACCCGCAUUCUCCGCGAGAUCAAGCUGCUCCGCCUUCUGCGCCAUCCAGACAUCGUCCAGAUCAAGCACAUCAUGCUCCCGCCGUCGCGCCGCGAGUUCCGUGACAUCUACAUAAUCUUCGAGCUCAUGGAGUCCGACCUCCACCAGGUCAUCAAGGCCAACGACGACCUCAGCCCGGAGCACCAUCAGUUCUUUUUCUACCAGCUGCUUCGUGGGAUGAAGUACAUACACGCUGCCAAUGUCUUCCACCGGGACCUCAAGCCCAAGAACAUUCUAGCCAAUGCCGAUUGCAAGCUCAAGAUUUGCGACUUCGGCCUUGCUCGGGUUUCCUUCAAUGACACCCCGUCCGCGAUAUUCUGGACGGAUUAUGUAGCAACAAGGUGGUAUCGUGCUCCAGAAUUAUGUGGCUCCUUCUUUUCAAAGUAUACUCCUGCGAUUGAUAUUUGGAGCAUAGGAUGUAUAUUUGCAGAAAUGCUUACAGGGAGGCCGCUCUUUCCUGGCAAAAAUGUGGUACAUCAAUUGGAUCUCAUGACUGAUCUACUCGGCACUCCUUCGGCAGAAUCUAUUUCUAGGAUUCGAAACGAAAAAGCUCGGCGAUAUUUGGGAAACAUGAAAAAAAAGCAUCCAAUACCUUUUUCUCAGAAGUUUCCCGGUGUGGACCCCAUGGCACUCCAUUUGCUUGAGCGUCUUCUUGCUUUUGAUCCCGCAGAUCGGCCAACAGCUGCAGAGGCCUUGGCAGACCCAUACUUUACUGGAUUGGCAAAUUCUGAACUCGAACCCACAACGCAACCCAUCUCGAGACUUGAGUUUGAGUUUGAGAGAAGGAAGCUGGGCAGAGAGGACGUACGUGAAUUAAUUUACAGGGAGAUUUUAGAGUACCAUCCUCAGAUGUUGCAUGAGUAUCUUCGUGGUGGAGAUCAGGCAAACUUUCUUUACCCAAGUGGGGUGGAUCGUUUCAAGAGGCAAUUUGUUCAUCUCGAAGAAAUCGGUGCUAAGGGUGAAAAGACUAGCCCGCAGCUGCGGCAGCAUGCUUCCUUACCAAGGGAAAGAGUUAUCGGCAGCAGUGAUGAGCCCGAAAAGCCAAAUGCAGAUUACUGUAUAAAAUUGCAUGUAGGUGAGGUACCAGGUUACACAUCGGUGACGGAUGGCCUUAACAAGCCACUGUUGAAUACUCGAAACUUCUUGAAGAGCGAAAGCAUCGGUGCCUCCAAGUGCAUCGUCGUCAAAGAAAAGCGAGAAAAAGAUGAGGAAUCUAUGUCUGAGUAUAUGCAUGAAGCAUCUGAUUAG
rnacentral:rRNA from 1 species